rnacentral:rRNA from 1 species
AACGAACGCUGGCGGCGCGCCUAAUACAUGCAAGUCGAGCGAGAAGACGUAGCAAUACGUUUGUAAAGCGGCGAACGGGUGAGGAAUACAUGGGUAACCUACCCUCGAGUGGGGAAUAACUAGCCGAAAGGUUAGCUAAUACCGCGUACGCUCCUUGGACUUCGGUUCAGGGAGGAAAGCGAUACCGUGGGUAUCGCGCUCUUGGAUGGGCUCAUGUCCUAUCAGCUUGUUGGUGAGGAACGGCUCACCAAGGCUUCGACGGGUAGCUGGUCUGAGAGGACAAUCAGCCACACUGGCACUGCGACACGGGCCAGACUCCUACGGGAGGCAGCAGUAAGGAAUAUUGCGCAAUGGGCGAAAGCCUGACGCAGCGACGCCGCGUGAGGGAUGACGGCCUGG